CCUACGGGUGGCAGCAGUAGGGAAUAUUGCUCAAUGGGGGAAACCCUGAAGCAGCAACGCCGCGUGGAGGAUGAAGGUUUUAGGAUUGUAAACUCCUUUUGUUAGAGAAGAUUAUGACGGUAUCUAACGAAUAAGCACCGGCUAACUCCGUGCCAGCAGCCGCGGUAAUACGGAGGGUGCAAGCGUUACUCGGAAUCACUGGGCGUAAAGAGUGCGUAGGCGGGGUAAUAAGUCAGAUGUGAAAUCCUGUAGCUUAACUACAGAACUGCAUUUGAAACUGUUACUCUGGAGUGUGGGAGAGGUAGGUGGAAUUCUUGGUGUAGGGGUAAAAUCCGUAGAUAUCAGGAGGAACACCGGCUGCGAAGGCGGCUUACUGGACUGUAACUGACGUUGAGGCUCGAAGGCGUGGGGAGCAAACAGGAUUAGAUACCCGGGUAGUC
rnacentral:rRNA from 1 species